GAGGGCAUGUGAGGCAAAAUUCUGUAAGCCUCUCCUGACCCCUCGGUAAUAAAAAUAGCCAUGCACACCCCUCUCCACUGUGCCCCCUAGGCUUGGGUGCCGCCCCCCUAGCCACCCCAGCUCCUAGGAAUGAUUGGAAUUCCAGGAGUAUGAUCCUUAGGUGCCCUGGGCGGCUCAUCCCUGGGAGGUGGGCAGGGUGUGGGGGUGGCCUCUGCACCCUUUGAUCCCUUGUUGAGUCUGCCUUCCCUUGCCUGCUUGGGCCCCUAGACGAGCACUGCCCUCUCUAGCAAACCCAAGGGCAUCCUGCUUGGCACCUGUCCCCCUCCAAGGGUCCAAAGGCAAGGGCCCUACCAGCUGGCACCCCCUGCAGAGGCCCUCCUUCCUGCCGCAGGCAUAAACCUUUCUUUGCCCAGGCUGGCCUGGGACCCAAACAAUGGGGCUUCUGUCCCGCCAGGUCUGCCGUCACCUUUUACCUCCCUAUUGUGCAACGCCCUCUCUUCAACAGGUUGGGCCCAGGCCAGAGGUCUCUACCAGCAAAGAGGAUAAAAGAGACUACACCUGGACAAACCCUCCCAGGCCCAGGCCUGAGCCUCACAUGUGGCCCCGGGGAAGGCAUCAGGGACUCCCUUUGCCCUCCCACUGACCUCCCUGCAAACCUCCCCCAAACCAAGGGGCAUCCUCAGCUGGCCAGACCCUGGGGGAAGGGAGAGAGCCGAGGAUCACCGGCACCUGUGGCUGGGUUACCCCUGCCAUGGACCACUGGGUGAUCAAGAAGUCAUUCCAAAAUGUGAAGCGUUCUGAAGAUAUGCACAUAGCGUAAGAACCUGGUGUAAUGUGCUGGUCAAGGCGGUCUCAGAGAGGAGAUGACGUUUGAGCUGACACCUGAGGGAUGAGAAGAAAGCAGCCAUUCCCAGGGCCCAGGGGAGGCAUCCCAGGAAGCCGGAUCAGCAUGAGCAAAAGCCCUGAGGCCUGGCACAAGUUGGUCUGCUUGAGAAGCAGGAGAGAGCCCUGAGCAUCCGGAGUGCAGCAAGCGAGAUGAGCAAGUCAAGAUGCAGAAGGACUCUCUGGCUUGUCCAAGGUCACACGGCUGUUAGGAGCAGAGCAGCGUCCUGGUGCCCAAGCCCUGAGGUCCCCAGCACACUGCCUCUGCAAUGGCCACAACUGUCCAAAGACUAAGCUGACUCUCACACCUGGUAGUGUCUGUGGUCAUUCACUGUGGAUGGAAGUGGAGAAAUGCAGAAAACAGAAACACAGCUUCCCCUUUUCUGUCAUAUUUCUGUAUCGUUGGUGUUUGGAGCCAGUUGAGCACAAAGGGCCCCUGAGUGCUGUUUCCUUGUGAUAUUUGGGGGUUAACAGCUUCCCCUCAUCUCUUAAUUACCUGCCCUCCUUCACUUCAGCUGCACAUUCGUUAAAGAAUGCUCUCCCAGGAGAAGAGCUUGGUGUUAUCACCCACAAACAUCUUAGAAAACUAAUGCUAUCCUUGAGUGCCUGUUUACAGAAACAUUUUUACAUCUCACUUGACAUUUCCAGCAAAUCUUGAUCCUUCCAGCCAGGAAUAUUAAUAUAUAGGUCUUGAAAAGUGCAAGAGGCUCUUCCAUGGCUCCAAGCACAUUUGACACUCUUCCUUUUCUGAUCCCCAAGCAGACAGUGAUGAAACCCCAAUAGCUGGGCGAAUACUCAUCCAACAGGAAGAAUCAGUUUUAAGAGCUGGGUUCUCAGGGUCAAAUACUGUGGUGUGGCCUUUUGGUUGUAAUGAGUUGAAUGGAGGUCUCAAAAAAGAUAUAUCCAUGUUCUAAUCCCCAGAACUUGUGAAUGUGACCUUAUUUGGAAAAAGAGUCCUUUUGGAUGUAAUUAAGUUAAGGAUUUUGAGAUAAGGAGAUCAUCCUGGGUUAUCUGGGUGGACCCUAAAUCUGUUGACAAUGUCCUUAUGAGAGACCCCAGAGGGCACAGACAGGAAAGGAAGAGGCAAUGUGGCCCCAGAGGCUGAGAUCAGAGCUCUGUGGCCACAAUUCGAGGAACACCUGGAGCCACCAGAAGCUGGAGGAGGCAAGGAACAGAUUCUCCCUGAUCCUCUGGAUACAGAGGGAGAAUAGCCUGGCCGACACCUUGAUUUUGGACUUCUGGCCCCCAGAACUGAGAAAAUUAACUUCUGUUGUGUUAAGCAGCCACGUUUGUAGCAGUUCAUCAUAGCAGCCCUGGGAAAGAAAUACAGUGGGCUUCCAGUUCAAGGAGGAUCCACGAGGCCUGAGCUCCAUCUGUCGAUUGGAAUCACCAAAAUCAAGGUUGUGUGCGGGUAACGCCAGCACAAGCAGCUCAUGCUGGCAAAAGCAGACCAAACCGGCUCACGCAACGUCAAGUCAUCUUGAAGUGGUUCACGCACCACAGUGAGUGGUAUUGAUUGUGGUUAAGAGCCAGGUUCAAGGAGGUUUAUCACUCAGUAGCCAGGUAAAGCAGGUUCCAGGCCUGGCUCCACCACUCAACAACCGGGGAAACAGGGGAGCAGACCUGCAGAGGGGCCAGAAGACACCUGGCCGGGUGGGGAGCAGCCCCUCCGUAAUAACAAUCGGAACCUGGGAAGAUAAGUAGAGUCCCAGGGGAGGGACAGAGUUUCCCCUGUGUCACCACAUGGCUACUUUGACACAAAUGCACGUGGGCAGAGAGAGGCAUGCAGGUCAAGGGCCUGGCAGGGAGUCAGGGGCCCUCAGUGCCAGUCCUGGCUCUGCCUCUGCCUCUGACACGCCAUGUGACCUUGAGCAAGUCACCACCCUGUCUGGGCUUCGCUAACCCAUAUACGGAAUGAGAAGGUAUCGUCCCUGGUCACUGCAGGUUUUAAAUCAUGUAGUGAGAGAGAGCUCAUUUGGUCCAACUCUCUGCAACUGAAGGAAUGGAGACACCAAGGGGGAGUAAUCGGCCGCAGUGAUGAGUGGGUGGCAAAGGGAGCUAUCACUACCAUUGAUUAUCCAGCUACUUGUGCUUGAUAAACUCCCUCCUGGUGGAAUGGGCUUUCCCACAUCCAGCAGCACAAAUGCUGUGAGCAUCUACUACGGGCUGGGCACCUUCUCUGGGCUGGCACUUGACAUGGGUUAUCUCAUUUAACUCCCUAACAACCCUAUGUGGUAUUAUCAUCCCCAUUUCACAGGCGGCAAAACUGAAUCCCAGAGAGAAGACUCACUCAGACACAGCUAUCUGAACACUCUUUUCCAGUUCCCCUAGGGCAGCAGAGGAAGCAAGGUGGGGGGAAGCCAGUGGUCAAGGAUUCCAUGCGGAAUGUACCCUAGAAUUAACCCAUGGAGAGAGGGUAAGGGAACGGGCUCAGGCCUGGGAAGAAGUGGGGAGGACAGUGUCCUGUUGACCUAUUCAAAAACAUCCAGUUUUAGUUAAUUUUUAGUUCAUUAGUCACCACUUUUUAUUAGUAUCUCAUGUAUUCUUUCACAGUUUCUUUCUGCAGGUACAAAAAUAAUGAUUUUUUUUCUUUCUUUUUCUUCUUUGAGACAGGGUCUCGCUCUGUUGCCCAGGCUGUAGUACAAUGGUGCAAUCUCGGCUCACUGCAACCUCUGCCUCUGGGUUCAAGCGAUCCUUUGCCUCCGCCUCCUGAGUAGCUGGAAUUACAGGCUUCCAGGAGGGGCCUCCCUGGGCUCCCGGAGGACACCCACAGUCCUCACCAUGCAGCUCCCUCCAACAUCAAGCCAGGAAUGGCCGAACAGAUCUUUCUCAUGCUUCAAAUCUCUGAUGAAUUUCUCUUGCCAGAGAAAGCUUGCCAUUUUCCAAGGGCUCACCCAGUCAGAUCCGUCCAACAAGGGUGAUCUCCCUAACAUUAGGUUAACUGACUUGGAACCUCAGUUAAUCUGCAAAAUCCCUUUUGUCAUAUAAUGGAAUACAAUCAUUUGGUUCACAUGCUCAUCUUAUUCACAGGCCCUACACUCAUACAAGGGCAGGGGACCACAGAAGAGUGAAGGCCAGUGAGGGUCACCUCAGAAUUCUGCCCAACACCGGUGUUUUGUAAUUUGGGUAGAUGUUGCCAUGUUGUCCUCCGUGGGGAUUAUGCAGAGGGAACUCUCCUCCUCCAGCAACAGUACAUGUACCUGCUUUUCCAUGGUGCUGCUUAGAGAAUGUUAUCAAACCUUUGGAUUUCUGCCAGUCUGAUAGGAGAAAAAUGGAAUCUCAAUUGUAUUUUAAAAUUGUAAUUAUCGCCUUAUGAAUAAGGCUGAGCAUUUCCUCAAAAGCAUAAGAGCCAUUUAUAUACUUUUUUCUUUAUGGCUUCUGGUUUUGAGGCAUAGAAAGGUCUUUCUAGCUCUAAAGUUAAUCAGAAAUUCUCUGUUUUCUUUUUGCUUUUUUUAAAAUUUUACUUUAAGUCCUUGGAUACAUGUGCUGAACGUGCAGGUUUGUUACAUAGGUAUACAUGGGCCAUGGUGGUUUGCUGCACCUAUCAACCCGUCAUCUAGGUUUUAAGCUCCACAUGCAUUAGGUAUUUGUCCUAAUGCUCUUCCUCCUCUUUCCCCAUGCCCCCAACAGGCCCCGGUGUGUGAUGUUCCCCUCCCUGUGUCCAUGUGUUCUCAUUGUUUAGCUCCCACUUAUGAGUGAGAACAUGCAGUGUUUGGUUUUCUGUUCCUGUGUUAGUUUGCUGAGGAUGAUGGUUUUCAGCUUCAUCCAGGUCCCUGCAAAGGACAUGAACUCAUUCUUUUUUAUGGCUGCAUAGUAUUCCAAGUUGCAUAUGUGCCACAUUUUCUUUAUCCAGUGUAUCAUUGAUGGGCUUUUGGGUUGCUUCCAAGUCUUUGCUAUCGUAAGUAGUGCUGCAAUAAACAAAUGUAUGCAUGUGUCUUUAUAGUAGAAUGAUUUAUAAUCCUUUGGGUAUAUACCCAGUAAUGGGAUUGCUGGGUCAAAUGGUAUUUCUAGUUCUAGAUCCUCGAGGAGUCGCCACACUGUCUUCCACAAUGGUUGAGCUAAUUUACACUCCCACCAACAGUGUAAACGUGUUCCUAUUUCUCCACAUCCUCACCAGCAUUUGUUAUUUCCAGACUUUUUAAUGAUUGCCAUUCUAACUGGCAUGAGAUGGUAUCUCCUUGUGGUUUUGAUUUGCAUUUCUCAGCUCAUUGCAACCUCUGCCUCCCAGGUUCAAGCAAUUCUCCUGCCUCAGCCUCCAGAGUAGCUGGGAUUACAGGGGCACGCCACCAAGCCCAGCUAAUUUUUGUAUUUUUAGCAGAAACAGGGCUUCACCAUGUUGGCCAGUCUGGUCUCAAACUCCUGAUCUCAAGUGAUCCAUCCACCUCAGCCUCCCAAAGUGCUGGGAUUAUAGGCGUGAGCCACCACGGCUGGCCAUUCUCCUGUGUUUUCUUCUGGGGCUUUUAUACUUUCAUUUUUUAAAAUCCAUAGUUUCUUGGAGCUGGAGGUGUCCCUUGUCAUUUUCUCAUCAGUGAGUGCAAAGCAGGAUCCCAAAAGGAUUGGAGUCCAGAGUAGAGAAAGGAGCUGCCGCGGUGGAGUCUGUUCAGUGCAGGCUCUGAUCUCCUUCAGCCCUGCCAGGAAUCCCAGCCAGCAGAUCUUCUUCCAGCUUCCCUUUCUCCAGCACUCUUGAUCUUCUGGGCUGGCACAGGGUCCAGGGUUGAUGGGGAUCCUAGCUGCCUGAGGAGCUUCCAGUCUGGAGGGUGAUACAAGCACAUGGCCAGACCUGAAUUCAAGCCAUGAGAGAGAUUCAGAACCUGGGCUGGGAGCGCAGGGGAGGGAGCGGGGUGCUGAUGGGGGUGGAUGGGAGGCUCCAGAGAGGAGGUGGCGUCUGAACUGAACCUUAAGAAUGAGGGGAAAUGUAAUGGCAGCGAUGAGAAAGGGGAGGCACUUCAGUGCAGAGAACAGCAAGAGCAAAGACAAGGAGGUGGAAAAUCAGCCAGAAACCUAGCCUGGAGAGGGUUUAGUGGACCAUGGGUCCUUGAUGGUAGAGACACAACAUGACUUAUCUCUGUGUCCCAUCCUCUGUGCCAGAGGCGGCAUCGACCAGACUUGGACAAAUGAAGCAGAAGGGACAGGGGACUUAGAAUACUAGGCUGCAUCAUUUUCUUUUUACUCUGACAGUGAGAAGCAAAGACCUCCACAAAGAAAGAAGCCCUUGGCUGUGUCAUCAUUUUAGAAUCUGGGCACUCUCUGCACACCACUGCCCCCUCAUGGCUGAUCUAGGAAUUCUCUCUAAAUCCCAGACUGAAGGUGAGGAGGAGGCUCAGUGAGUCUUAGAGAUUUGAAAAGCCGUGAAAUCCUGGUUGGAGAACAUCUGAGUCCAAAGGGCCCUCAGAGACUCUCUGACUUCCUCAUUA
rnacentral:lncRNA from 1 species